GAAGCCAGAKMURAWWGACAGCYGGSGGUAUGCUUAACACAUGCAAGUCGAACGGUAACAGGCAAAGCUUGCUUUGCGCUGACGAGUGGCGGACGGGUGAGUAACGCGUAGGAAUCUGCCUUAUAGUGGGGGAUAGCCCGGUGAAAACCGGAUUAAUACCGCAUACGCCCUACGGGGGAAAGUCGGGGAUCUUUUGACCUGACGCUAUUAGAUGAGCCUGCGUAAGAUUAGCUUGUUGGUGGGGUAAUGGCCUACCAAGGCAACGAUCUUUAGCUGGUCUGAGAGGACGAUCAGCCACACUGGGACUGAGACACGGCCCAGACUCCUACGGGAGGCAGCAGUGGGGAAUAUUGCACAAUGGGCGCAAGCCUGAUGCAGCAAUACCGCGUGUGUGAAGAAGGCCUGCGGGUUGUAAAGCACUUUCAAUAGUGAAGAAAUAUCGGUGGUUAAUACCCAUCGGUCUUGACGUUAACUAUACAAGAAGCACCGGCUAACUCCGUGCCAGCAGCCGCGGUAAUACGGAGGGUGCAAGCGUUAAUCGGAAUUACUGGGCGUAAAGAGUACGUAGGUGGUUCGUUAAGUCAGAUGUGAAAGCCCAGGGCUCAACCUUGGAACUGCAUUUGAUACUGGCGAACUAGAGUAUGGUAGAGGGGGGGGGGKRGAAAAUUUCAWRGUKUWGGCCCCGGUGAAUAUKCGCUUAGWUWUUWUUUGAGGRWUUACCAGGGUGGGCRAAGGGCGGCCCCCCUGGGACCAAUACUGACACUGAGGUUACGAAAGCGUGGGUAGCGAACAGGAUUAGAUACCCCUGGUAGUCCACGCCGUAAACGAUGUCAACUAGCMGUUGGGACCUUGARGUCUCAGUGGUGCAGCUAACGCGUGARGUUGACSGCCUGGGGAGUAUACGSCCSCMAGCGA
rnacentral:rRNA from 1 species